rnacentral:rRNA from 1 species
AUUGAACGCUGGCGGCAGGCCUAACACAUGCAAGUCGAGCGAGCGGCGGAUGGGUGAGUAAUGUCUGGGAAACUGCCUGAUGGAGGGGGAUAACUCCUGGAAACGGUAGCUAAUACCGCAUACCAUCAGAUGUGCCCAGGUGGGAUUAGCUAGUAGCGGGGGUGACGGCUCACCUAGGCGACGAUCCCUAGCUGGUCUGAGAGGAUGACCAGCCACACUGGAACUGAGAAACGGUCCAGACUCCUAGGGGAGGCAGCAGUGGGGAAUAGUGCACAAUGGGCGCAAGCCUGAUGCAGCCAUGCCGCGUGUGUGAAGAAGGCCUUCGGGUUGUAAAGCACUUUCAGCGGGGAGGCGUUACCCGCAGAAGAAGCACCGGCUAACUCCGUGCCAGCCGCCGCGGUAAUAC